rnacentral:lncRNA from 1 species
GAGCCGCCAGCCGGGCGUGAGUAAGUCUAGGGCCCAGUUUCCGGCUGCGCCAUUGCUGUGUGGGUCUUGGGACCUCGAGUUGGAGGACGCGGGAGGGUGGGGGCGGGGGCAGGGCAGCGCUGAGAUUUCCGGGGAGCGGCAGGUGAGGCCGCGCGGGGCGGGUGACGGCACCCGGGCGGGCUCCUUUCCAGGCUGGAGCCCGAGACUGCCACGUCCUGCGGGGACCAAGUGGUGGGCGAGGAGGCGUGGAGCGGCUUCAGGACUCGAGGAGCGGUUCCGAAGCAGCUAGGGACUUUUGCCUUUGCCCCCCGAGGUCGAUCGGAAGACAACCCCCAUCCCCUGCUGUAGCGGGACAGUUGGAGGGUCAUGGGUGGGUGAAGUGUUUGGCUGAGGGAAACUCAGACCAAAGAGCAGCGGCAAGAAAGCAGUUGGGUCCCCACAAAACGCCCGAAGUCAAGGUGAGGGUCACACAACGACUCUUGACGAUUCCGGCGAGUUCAUCCUGGUGCACAUCCCACUCCAUGCCUCUCUCUUCUGGUUGGACAAUAGUUACAUCCUUACGAAAAGGAGGCAAGCUACUGGGCCUUGGUGGAUCCACUCAACCUUGUUACCAAGGGACAUGCCGCCAUGCUAUGUGAAAAGGGGGGUUUUGUUGUUUGUUUUUAAUUUAAGUAUCUAAUUCGUUUCACGAAAGAAUGAUCAAUACCGGCCCAGAGUAAACUUGAUAAGUAAUUAAACUGUCAGGGCAUAGAGUUCCCAUAGAGGUGCUUGUUCUUUCAAUACACAAAUAAAGGGAUGCAAAAGUCAACAUGCAGAAAGGGUGAGUUAAUAUUGUCUUCUAAUCUACAGGAACUGAAAGAUUAGCUAAUCUGGUUUGGUUGGUGACCAAAUUUUGUGAUUGCUUGCACUGUUUGACUACCUCUGACAAAUGUUGCAAGACCUCUUCACUGAUUCUCCAAAGACUAUAGAAUGUUCUCUUUCAGGAGCAAGCUGCGACAUGUUUAACUAGUUUAGGUAAAACAACAAUAACUGUUAUUUACCAGGGAACAGGCUUUUGGCAGAUAAUCUAACGAUCUACGAUACUGUUCGUUGGGCAUAUGUUAAUGUUUGUAAUGUUGUAUUACCAGCAGUUGUUUUCUUACUCCUUUUUAUUUGAAAACCUGGAUGAUAGUUUCAAAGCCUAUGCUGCUUAGGCCUAGCCUGUACCUUAGUAGCCAGAAAAAGUAGACUCAGUCACUGGAUUGUGUGCACUGAAUACUUACUUGAGAUAACUGAUUUUUCUAAAACUUCCCCAAGUCUUGAAUCCAAGAUGUGGGCAGAAUGUAUUAUUUUAACAUCCUUCGUUCCAGAGGCCAAUGCGUGUUUUAUUUUAAUCAUGAUAGGUGGUUUUCCCAGUUACUGCCUCCGGAUACUUGCAGUGCUGCAUCCCUAGUUAAAAGCCCAGAAGUCUUGGGCAGGAAGGAAGGGCAUAUAAAGAGAAAGCCUUUGUAGUUCUUUAGCUGUAAUCUAGACCAGGGGUCCCCAACGACGGACUGGUACCUGGUUUGCAGCCUGUUAGGAACGGGGCCGCACAGCAGGAGGUGAGCGAUGGGUGAGUGAGCAUUUCCGUCUAAGUUCCGCCUCCUGUCAGAUCAGCAGCAUCAUUAGAUUCUCAUGGUGCGAACCGUAAUGUGAACUGCAUGUGCGAGGGAUCUAGGUUGUGCGCUCCUUAUGAUAAUCUAAUGCCUGAUGAUCUGAGGUGGAACAGCUUCAUCCUGAAAGCAUCCCCCAUCCCCGUCCAUGGAAAAAUUGUUUUCCACGAAACCAGUCCUGGAUGCCAUUAAGGUUGGAGACUGCUGAUCUAGACCAUGCCUUUACAAUCUAAGUUUGCUCAUCUAGCUUCAAGUUACAGGACAGUCUGCAAGACCAGGAACAGCAUAGGGGUUGCCACAGUGGAGCUCCUUACUGCAGUCUGCAUUGCCUUAACUAAAGGUGGUGUCAGGAUUGAUUCAAAUACUGUGAACUACUUUCCAUAAAGAGAAGUCUGAGCUCGUGAACUGAGAUUCACAGUUGUGGUACAGUAAUGUUAUGUAUACUCUGAUAAAUCACUCUGAGUGUGUUUCCACUUAGAUAUGUGGAAAGCAUACUAGGCAAUCUCCAAUGCCCUUUCAGCUUUAAAAUCUGUAAAUUGGACUGGAUUUGGUCAUUUUUCUUAAAUAAAUAGCAUAGUAAGGUAUUUGAU